rnacentral:lncRNA from 1 species
ACUAUGCGGCUUCUUUAGACUUUCAGAGCAAUUUAGAGCACAUUGGUCGAAUCUUAGCAUAGGGAUCGGAGGGAUGGGGAAUUCAGCCUACCAUAACAUUGUUGAGAAGAAGAUAGAUCAAGACACUAUAUUUUAGUAUAAAAAUCUAGCACUUCGAGGUAUUUCUAUAAGUACCAUAUCUAUAAUUUAUCGUCCAUGUGAUAUUAUUUUCUAUUUGAUUUUCUGAUGAUAAGUAGUAUCAUAAUUAGUUGUGGCAUCCAAGCUCCAACCAUUUUGCACACACCAUAUGCGUUGAUAGUGAAUGAGAAGGAGCUGAUCACUCUCAAUCUGUCAACAACAUCUGAAGCAGGGAAAUAUCAAGCAAAAGGCCCAAGGUCACAGGUUUGGCAGAACGAUCUUGUGUUCCCAAAACCACCCUCGUUUUCAUAGCUAGCUAGCAAACUAGUCAUGUCGUGUCCUAUUGUUUACAAGCGAGCUGCUCUUUUGGUUUUUGCCAUCACUGCCAACUGACCGUCUUUUUGUUU